CGCACAUUGCGCCUUCCGGUAUUCCGGGAGGCAUGCCUGUCUGAGCGUCAGUGAAUCCUCAUACCUUGAUGUGUAUUCGUACAUGUCUCGGCGUGGUUGUGAGCCGUGAGAUUCGUCUCUGGCUUGAAAUGUAUUGGCGGUGUCGCCUGGUACUUUAAUGUGAUAGGUAUUUCCAACUCAUUGAACCCAAGCAUCGCACUGCCCUUUCUAUAAACACUGUACUCUUGACCUCAGAUCAGGUAGGGAUACCCGCUGAACUUAA
rnacentral:misc_RNA from 1 species